rnacentral:rRNA from 1 species
CCUACGGGAGGCUGCAGUGGGGAAUAUUGGACAAUGGGGGCAACCCUGAUCCAGCCAUGCCGCGUGUGUGAAGAAGGCCCUCGGGUUGUAAAGCACUUUCAGUGAGGAAGAACGCCUGGUGGUUAAUACCCAUCAGGAAAGACAUCACUCACAGAAGAAGCACCGGCUAACUCCGUGCCAGCAGCCGCGGUAAUACGGAGGGUGCGAGCGUUAAUCGGAAUUACUGGGCGUAAAGCGCGCGUAGGUGGCUUGAUAAGCCGGUUGUGAAAGCCCCGGGCUCAACCUGGAAACGGCAUCCGGAACUGUCAAGCUAGAGUGCAGGAGAGGAAGGUAGAAUUCCCGGUGUAGCGGUGAAAUGCGUAGAGAUCGGGAGGAAUACCAGUGGCGAAGGCGGCCUUCUGGACUGACACUGACACUGAGGUGCGAAAGCGUGGGUAGCAAACAGGAUUAGAUACCCGAGUAGUC